rnacentral:rRNA from 1 species
UACGUAGGGGCAAGCGUUGUCCGGAAUCAUUUGGGCGUAAAGGGUGCGUAGGCGGCGCGGUAAGUCGGGUGUUGAAAUCUCGGAGCUUAACUCCGAAACUGCAUUCGAUACUGCCGUGCUUGAGGACUGGAGAGGAGACUGGAAUUCCCGGUGUAGCGGUGAAAUGCGCAGAUAUCGGGAGGAACACCAAUGGCGAAGGCAGCUCGCUGGGACGGUACUGACGCUGAGACGCGAAAGCGUGGGGAGCAAACAGG